GCACGCCUGUCGGGACCCGAAAGAUGGUGAACUAUGCCUGAGCGGGGCGAAGCCAGAGGAAACUCUGGUGGAGGCUCGAAGCGAUACUGACGUGCAAAUCGUUCGGUGGACUUGGGUAUAGGGGCGAAAGACUAAUCGAACCAUCUAGUAGCUGGUUCCCUCCGAAGUUUCCCUCAGGAUAGCUGGAGCCCAUUACGAGUUCUAUCAGGUAAAGCCAAUGAUUAGAGGCAUUGGGGACGC
rnacentral:ncRNA from 1 species